rnacentral:rRNA from 1 species
AUGCCAAUCUUCCAAAGUGCAAGUGUGGCAGUUCGACAGAGGGCUCACCCUGCCGCGGAGCGUGACGGCGAUACCAAUGGUGUUGCCCUCGCGGAUCUUGAAGCUGGCGACGGAGUUCUUGGCCUUGGUCUUGACGGGGUACUGGCCGGUGAUGGAGGCGAGGUCCUUCAUGGCGGCCUCCAGGCCCUUGUUGUUCCCCGCAUCCACCCCCAGCCCGCAGUUCACCACAAUCUUCUCAAGCUUGGGCACCUAGCAGCACCGAUAACAACCAAUCAAUCAAGAAACAACUACCGGGCAGGCCAAUCUACGACGCAAGAAAUGGGCUCGAUUCAUCAGAGCAGAGCAGGGGAGGGUGCUACCUGGUGGACAUUGGUGUAG